rnacentral:rRNA from 1 species
CCUACGGGUGGCAGCAGUGAGGAAUAUUGGUCAAUGGGCGCGAGUCUGAACCAGCCAAGUAGCGUGAAGGAUGACUGCCCUAUGGGUUGUAAACUUCUUUUAUAUGGGAAUAAAGUGUUCCACGUGUGGGAUUUUGUAUGUACCAUAUGAAUAAGGAUCGGCUAACUCCGUGCCAGCAGCCGCGGGAAUACGGAGGAUCCGAGCGUUAUCCGGAUUUCUUGGGUUUAAAGGGAGCUUAGGUGGAGUGUUAAGUCAGUUGUGAAAGUUUGCGGCUCAACCGUAAAAGUGAAGUUGAAACUGGCAGUCGUGAGUACAGUAGAGGUGGGCGGAAUUCGUGGUGUAGCGGUGAAAUGCUUAGAUAUCACGAAGAACUCCGAGUGCGAAGGCAGCUCACUGGACUGCAACUGACACUGAGGCUCGAAAGUGUGGGUAUCAAACAGGAUUAGAUACCCCGGUAGUC